rnacentral:rRNA from 1 species
AAUCAACGCUGGCGGCGUGCCUCAGACAUGCAAGUCGAACGCGAAAGUUUCCUUCGGGGAGCGAGUAGAGUGGCGCACGGGUGAGUAACACGUAGGUAAUCUACCUUCGGAUGGGGAAUAACAAUCGGAAACGGUUGCUAAUACCGCAUAAUGCAGCGGCACCUAAUGGUGACAGUUGUUAAAGCGGGGGAUCGUAAGACCUCGCGUCUGAAGAGGAGCCUGCGGCGGAUUAGCUUGUUGGUAAGGUAAUGGCUUACCAAGGCGACGAUCCGUAACCGGCCUGAGAGGGCGGUCGGUCACACUGACACUGACAUACGGGUCAGACUCCUACGGGAGGCAGCAGUCGGGAAUUUUGGGCAAGUGGGCGAAAGCCUCGACCCAGCAACGCCGCGUGAAGGAUAGAAACUCCCGUCGGGA